rnacentral:rRNA from 1 species
AGCGGAGGAAAAGAAACCAACAGGGAUUACCUCAGUAACGGCGAGUGAAGCGGUAAAAGCUCAAAUUUGAAAUCUGGCUCUUUCAGAGUCCGAGUUGUAAUUUGUAGAAGAUGCUUCGGGUGUGGUUCCGGUCUAAGUUCCUUGGAACAGGACGUCAUAGAGGGUGAGAAUCCCGUAUGUGACUGGAUACCUAUGCUCAUGUGAAGCUCUUUCGACGAGUCGAGUUGUUUGGGAAUGCAGCUCAAAAUGGGUGGUAUAUUUCAUCUAAAGCUAAAUAUUGGCCAGAGACCGAUAGCGCACAAGUAGAGUGAUCGAAAGAUGAAAAGCACUUUGGAAAGAGAGUUAAACAGUACGUGAAAUUGUUGAAAGGGAAGCGCUUGCAAUCAGACUUGCACUUGGUGUUCAUCAGGGUUUCGUGCCCUGUGUACUUCAUCAAGUUCAGGCCAGCAUCAGUUUGAGUGGUUAGAUAAAGGCUUGGAGAAUGUGGCCCUCUUCGGGGGGUGUUAUAGCUCCAGGUGCAAUGUAGCCUACUUGGACUGAGGACCGCGCUUCGGCUAGGAUGCUGGCGUAAUGGUUGUAAGCGACCCGUCUUGAAACACGGACCAAGGAGUGUACCUAAUAUGCGAGUGUUUGGGUGUUAAACCCAUACGCGUAAUGAAAGUGAACGCUGGUGAGAACCCUUAAGGGUGCAUCAUCGACCGAUCUUGAUGUCUUCGGAUGGAUUUGAGUAAGAGCAUAUUGGGUGCGACCCGAAAGAUGAUGAUCUAUACGUGAAUAGGGUGAAGCCAGAGGAAACUCUGGUGGAGGCUCGCA